rnacentral:rRNA from 1 species
UACGUAGGUGCGAGCAGUAUCGUGAAUUACUGGGCGUAAAGCGUGCGCAGGCGGUUGUGCAAGACAGAUGUGAAAUCCCCGGGCUCAACCUGGGAAUUGCAUUUGUGACUGCACGGCUAGAGUGUGUCAGAGGGGGGUAGAAUUCCACGUGUAGCAGUGAAAUGCGUAGAGAUGUGGAGGAAUACCGAUGGCGAAGGCAGCCCCCCUGGGAUAACACUGACGCUCAUGCACGAAAGCGUGGGGAGCAAACAGG